rnacentral:rRNA from 1 species
UGAGACCUACGGGACGCAGCAGUGGGGAAUAUUGCGCAAUGGGGGCAACCCUGACGCAGCAACGCCGCGUGAGUGAAGAAGUAUUUCGGUAUGUAAAGCUCUAUCAGCAGGGAAGAAAAUGACGGUACCUGACUAAGAAGCCCCGGCUAACUACGUGCCAGCAGCCGCGGUAAUACGUAGGGGGCAAGCGUUAUCCGGAUUUACUGGGUGUAAAGGGAGCGUAGACGGCAGCGCAAGUCUGAAGUGAAAUCCCAUGGCUUAACCAUGGAACUGCUUUGGAAACUGUGCAGCUGGAGUGCAGGAGA